rnacentral:rRNA from 1 species
UACGUAGGCAGCAAGCGUUGUUCGGAAUUACUGGGCGUAAAGAGUGUGUAGGCGGUGUUCUAAGUUCGGUGUGAAAUCUCCCGGCUUAACUGGGAGGGUGCGCCGGAAACUGGAGUGCUCGAGCGUGGGAGAGGAAAGCGGAAUUCCUGGUGUAGCGGUGAAAUGCGUAGAUAUCAGGAGGAACACCUGCGGUGUAGACGGCUUUCUGGACCAUUGCUGACGCUGAGACACGAGAGCGUGGGUAGCAAACAGG